rnacentral:rRNA from 1 species
AGAGUUUGAUUCUGGCUCAGAACGAACGCUGGCGGCGUGGAUAAGACAUGCAAGUCGAACGAGAGAAUUGCUAGCUUGCUAAUAAUUCUCUAGUGGCGCACGGGUGAGUAACACGUGAGUAACCUGCCCCCGAGAGCGGGAUAGCCCUGGGAAACUGGGAUUAAUACCGCAUAGUAUCGAAAGAUUAAAGCAGCAAUGCGCUUGGGGAUGGGCUCGCGGCCUAUUAGUUAGUUGGUGAGGUAACGGCUCACCAAGGCGAUGACGGGUAGCCGGUCUGAGAGGAUGUCCGGCCACACUGGAACUGAGACACGGUCCAGACACCUACGGGUGGCAGCAGUCGAGAAUCAUUCACAAUGGGGGAAACCCUGAUGGUGCGACGCCGCGUGGGGGAAUGAAGGUCUUCGGAUUGUAAACCCCUGUCAUGUGGGAGCAAAUUAAAAAGAUAGUACCACAAGAGGAAGAGACGGCUAACUCUGUGCCAGCAGCCGCGGUAAUACAGAGGUCUCAAGCGUUGUUCGGAAUCACUGGGCGUAAAGCGUGCGUAGGCUGUUUCGUAAGUCGUGUGUGAAAGGCGCGGGCUCAACCCGCGGACGGCACAUGAUACUGCGAGACUAGAGUAAUGGAGGGGGAACCGGAAUUCUCGGUGUAGCAGUGAAAUGCGUAGAUAUCGAGAGGAACACUCGUGGCGAAGGCGGGUUCCUGGACAUUAACUGACGCUGAGGCACGAAGGCCAGGGGAGCGAAAGGGAUUAGAUACCCCUGUAGUCCUGGCAGUAAACGGUGCACGCUUGGUGUGCGGGGAAUCGACCCCCUGCGUGCCGGAGCUAACGCGUUAAGCGUGCCGCCUGGGGAGUACGGUCGCAAGAUUAAAACUCAAAGGAAUUGACGGGGACCCGCACAAGCGGUGGAGUAUGUGGUUUAAUUCGAUGCAACGCGAAGAACCUUACCUGGGCUUGACAUGUAAUGAACAACAUGUGAAAGCAUGCGACUCUUCGGAGGCGUUACACAGGUGCUGCAUGGCCGUCGUCAGCUCGUGUCGUGAGAUGUUUGGUUAAGUCCCGCAACGAGCGCAACCCCUGUUGCCAGUUACCAGCACGUGAAGGUGGGGACUCUGGCGAGACUGCCCAGAUCAACUGGGAGGAAGGUGGGGACGACGUCAGGUCAGUAUGGCCCUUAUGCCCAGGGCUGCACACGUACUACAAUGCCCAGUACAGAGGGGGCCGAAGCCGCGAGGCGGAGGAAAUCCUGAAAACUGGGCCCAGUUCGGACUGUAGGCUGCAACCCGCCUACACGAAGCCGGAAUCGCUAGUAAUGGCGCAUCAGCUACGGCGCCGUGAAUACGUUCCCGGGUCUUGUACACACCGCCCGUCACAUCAUGGAAGCCGGUCGCACCCGAAGUAUCUGAAGCCAACCGCAAGGAGGCAGGGUCCUAAGGUGAGACUGGUAACUGGGAUGAAGUCGUAACAAGGUAGCCGUAGGGGAACCUGCGG